UGGGGAAUAUUGCACAAUGGGCGCAAGCCUGAUGCAGCCAUGCCGCGUGUAUGAAGAAGGCCUUCGGGUUGUAAAGUACUUUCAGCGGGGAGGAAGGGAGUAAAGUUAAUACCUUUGCUCAUUGACGUUACCCGCAGAAGAAGCACCGGCUAAAUCCGUGCCAGCAGCCGCGGUAAUACGGAGGGUGCAAGCGUUAAUCGGAAUUACUGGGCGUAAAGCGCACGCAGGCGGUUUGUUAAGUCAGAUGUGAAAUCCCCGGGCUCAACCUGGGAACUGCAUCUGAUACUGGCAAGCUUGAGUCUCGUAGAGGGGGGUAGAAUUCCAGGUGUAGCGGUGAAAUGCUUAGAGAUCUGGAGGAAUACCGGUGGCGAAGGCGGCCCCCUGGACGAAGACUGACGCUCAGGUGCGAAAGCGUGGGGAGCAAACAGG
rnacentral:rRNA from 1 species